CUGCUGCUCAUGCCCCCAGCGCUGGUUCCUUUACCCACCUGAGAAGACGCCAGAGUUCCACCCCAACAAGACCACGCUGGCCUGGCUCCGGGACACAUACCCAGCCCUGCCACCGUCUGCACGGCCCCUGGAGUGUACCAUCUGGGCUGGUGAGGUCAGUGGCUGGCAGGAGAGGGCCAGGCCAGGCUAGAGGCCCGCAGCUAAUCUCUGCUGCACCCCCUUCCUCCACCAGGUGCUGUACUUCCCCGACCGCUGGUGGCAUGCUACGCUCAACCUUGACACCAGCGUCUUCAUCUCCACCUUCCUCGGCUAGCCAAAACAGCUGGCAGGACUACCUGUCACACACCAGCAUGUCCCACCUCGUGCUCACGGAUUUUAUUACACAGAUAGUGGCGGCAGUGGCCUCAGCCCAGCCCACCCUCACCUGCUUUUCCAGCCCACAAAGGGGGACGAUCACGGCCCAGCAAAAGCGAUGCUGAGAGAGGGAACAGUCCAGAGUCCAACAGCAGAACUUACUUGGGGGAAGGGGUCGGGGUGGCCAAGAAACAUAAACUAUGUAUAGGGGCCAGGGGCUUCUGCCCAGGGCUCCCCUGGACCAGGAUGCCAGGUAGGGCAGGGAACCUCAGUAGUCCUCCACCCAGCCAUUCUCAGAGAUGAAUGCGUCAAUAACCUCCUUCAUAGCCAAGUUGGGGAUGAGCUGCUCCUGGGUCAGGGGGCUCCGGGUCACGGGGUCAAAAUGACCCACACGCUGCAGUGACAAGAAGGGCAGAGGGCAGUCAUGGGGCCCAGGACCAUGCCACUGGCCCUGCUCCCCCAGCCGCAGCCUCACCUGCAGGUGCUCCUCGAUGUCCUUGCGGUCGUAGGUGAUGCCACUGGGCGUGAUGCACGGCUCCCGCAUCAGCUCAAAGCUGAUCUUGCCACACAGGUAGUCGGGGAUGUCUCGCUUCUGGUGGCACAGAGGCACACGGUCAGAGGCUGAAAAGGGGCACUGCACGAGCACCUGCCAGCCAUCGGCAGCAAGCGACACACACUCACCUU
rnacentral:sRNA from 1 species